CUCCCAAAGUGCUGGGAUUACAGGCGUGAGCCACUGCGGCCCUGAAUCGGGGAAGUUGCUAGCAGACUGUGACACUUCCAAAGCCAGAAGCCUGAAAUGACUGCCUAAUCAGCUGCCAUGUCCGAGAGUUGACUGGGAAGUGUUUUCCAGGAAAGCCUUCUCUGAGGUUGUGUCUAGCUGGCUCUGACAGCAAAAGGAAGAUCUCUUUGUUGCAAAUAUCUGAAAUUAUUUUCCCAGGGGAGUACAAUAAAGCAGAAGCUUAUCAGGUA